rnacentral:tRNA from 1 species
GAAUGUGUGGCGUAGUGGUUUGAGUGUUGGACUAUGACUCUGGAGACCAGGGUUUGAUUCCCAGUUUAACCA